UGUGUGUGUGUGUGUGUGUGUGUGUGCACACGUGCUCGCAUAUACACACACACACACACACACACACACACACACACACACACACACACACACACA
ensembl:miRNA Gm22033 predicted gene, 22033